rnacentral:rRNA from 1 species
AUGCGUGUUCCGUCAAGAGUCCUGCAACACGCGGCCGACCUCGCCCCCUCCGGCACCGGAGGGACGUCGUCGUCGUUGCCUGCUUCACCACAGCAACCGCCGGAGCAGGCAGCGCCGAUGACGGUGGACUCAGACAUGGCGGUCAUCCUGGCGUCAAUGAUGUGCGCGCUCGUUUGCGUCCUUAGACUCGCUCUUGCUUCCCGGUGCGCAUGCCGACGCCGAUGCUCCAGCUCUAGUUCGUCCUCCAACCCACACCCGGAGGGCCUCAAGAAGGCAAUUGACGUGCUCCCCACCGUCUCCUUUGCCACAGCAGCUUCACCGCAACCGGCAGCAACGAAGUGUGCGAUAUGCCUAGCCGAGUUCACGGUGGGGGAGAGCAUGCGCGUUCUCCCGCGUUGCGGCCACGCCUUCCACGUUCUCUGCAUCGAUACUUGGCUCCGGACCUGCACCAGCUGCCCCUUUUGCCGCGCCUCCAUCGUUGCUGCUCCAGCCCCUGCACCUACGCUAGUGGUUGUAGUGGCAGGGAACAAUAGGUGCGGGAGGUGCGGCGAGCUGACCGCGCCGGCUGGUGGUGGAGAUAGCACGUUCUUGCCUUAA